rnacentral:rRNA from 1 species
CCUACGGGAGGCAGCAGUGGGGAAUUUUGGACAAUGGGGGCAACCCUGAUCCAGCCAUUCCGCGUGAGUGAAGAAGGCCUUCGGGUUGUAAAGCUCUUUCGCAAGGGAAGAAAACUUAUGAUCGAAUAAAUCAUGAGGUUGACGGUACCUUGAUAAGAAGCACCGGCUAACUACGUGCCAGCAGCCGCGGUAAUACGUAGGGUGCGAGCGUUAAUCGGAAUUACUGGGCGUAAAGCGUGCGCAGGCGGUUUUGUAAGUCGGAUGUGAAAUCCCCGGGCUCAACCUGGGAACUGCGUUCGAAACUGCAAGGCUAGAGUGUGUCAGAGGGGGGUAGAAUUCCACGUGUAGCAGUGAAAUGCGUAGAGAUGUGGAGGAAUACCAAUGGCGAAGGCAGCCCCCUGGGAUAACACUGACGCUCAUGCACGAAAGCGUGGGGAGCAAACAGGAUUAGAUACCCUGGUAGUCCACGCCCUAAACGAUGUCAACUAGUUGUUGGUAGAGUAAAAUCUAUGAGUAACGUAGCUAACGCGUGAAGUUGACCGCCUGGGGAGUACGGUCGCAAGNUUAAACUUNAAAGGAAUUGACGGNUUGNGNGNGCGAGCGACGACGAGGAGAGG